CGCGCGCGCGCGCGGUGGCCCGGCGGGGCGUGCGCGUCCGGCGCCGUCCGUCCGUCUUCCUCCCUCCCGGCCUCCCGCCGACCACGGGCGUGGAGGAGUGGGGGGGGGAGGGCGCGCGUCCCUGCUCGGCGCCCCCGCUUCUUCGGUUCCCGCCUCCUCCCCGUCCACCGCCGGUGGGGCUCGUCCCUCCGGGCUGGGACGGUGUCCGGGGAGCCUGGGUGGGAGCCGCGGAGGCGGAGCGCGCCGAGCGGGGUCCGCGGCCCGCCGGCCCCUGUCCCAGGGGUGGCCGUGCGGGCCCGGGGGGCGGCCACCCGCGUCUCCGGCCCUCGCG
rnacentral:misc_RNA from 1 species